AUUGAACGCUGGCGGCAGGCCUAACACAUGCAAGUCGAGCGAGCGGCGGACGGGUGAGUAAUGUAUGGGGACUGCCCGAUAGAGGGGGAUAAAUACUGGAAACGGUGGCUAAUACCGCAUACUAUCGGAUAACCCAUAUGGGAUUAGCUAGUAGGUGGGGUAAAGGCUAACCUAGGCGACGAUCUCUAGCUGGUCGGAGAGGAUGAUCGGCGAAACUGGAACUGAGACACGGCCCAGAGUCCUACGGAGGCAGCAGUGGGGAAUAUUGCACAAUGGGCGCAAGCCUGAUGGAGCCAUGCCGCGUGUAUGAAGAAGGCCUGAGGGUUGUAAAGUACUUUCAGCGGGGAGGCGUUACCCACAGAGAAAGCACCGGCUAACUCCGUGCCAGCCGCCGCGGUAAUAC
rnacentral:rRNA from 1 species